AUCCCCGAGCCGAGCCGUAAGGUCCUUAAGUGAGUAACUUUGCCCUGGAGGAAAGUGGAUUCUACGAAGGGAGUUAAGAACAGACACUGAGUCCCAGCAACUCUGGAGGCUGAGGCGGGAGCAUCGCUUGAGCCCAGGAGUUCGAGGCAGCCGUGAGCCGUAAUCGUGUCGCGCCACUGUACUCAAGCCUCCAGACCGGGCGACAGAGCAAGACCCCGAGACCCCUCCCAUUAAAAAAAAAUGAACACUGUACGAAACGCUGCGGUUUCAGAGCUGGAAGAGACCUCAGACAUUCAAUCCCUUUUCCCAAAAUUCACUGGAAGAGCUCGAGGAAAACUUUCCCUUGCAGCUGUCUCAGUCUUUACAGUGCUUAGUUACGAAGACAGUCUUAACAGUCCCAUCUUUCGCCCUGUAAUUCAAGACGGUAUUCCUAAAUCAGGAAUUUUAAUAGAUCAGAAUACGGCAGUCUGUUUUCCUGGGCAUCAAUUAUAAUAUAACCUUGUACUGUCACACUGGUCUUUGACUUCGACGAUGAAAAAGAAAGAAAGGCUCAGAAAGAUGGGUCCCGGAAGCAGCCGAGGAAAACAGGUAGUUAUCAAGGUUAGAGCCAUCACAAAGAGAGGAGUACCUCGCUAUGUGAUAAACCUGCAACCCAAAUACUAACCAUACCAUGGGUCAGUAUGGUCGUUUGAAGGGAGGGAAAUGGUAUGGGUGUAUUCCUCUUGCAGGAAGACCCCAUAUCUACUUUGGGUAAAGUGAGGAGCCAUUUUCCUGAGGCUAGCGGUAGGUGGGAGAUAUAUGGACAAUGGCACUGGACUGAGAGCUUAGAUAACCUGUCCCUGGUGACUCCUGACCUGCAGCCUUGCUCCCUCUUUCCCUCUCACCAGACUCCCUCCCUUCUUCAGAUCAGGUGACACAAACGAUUUUUUUUCUGUUUUUUUGACACACAGUCUUGGUUUGUUGCCCAAGCUGGAGGGCAGUGGUGCGAUCACAGCUGACCCUAACUUCGACCUUAAGGUUCAAGAGACUCUCCUGCCUCAGUCUCCAGAGUAGCUAGUACCACCAACAUGGGCCACCAUACCCAGCUAAUUUUUAUUUUUUGUAGAAUGAGAUCUUACUAUAUUCCCCAGGCUGGUCUCAAACUCUUGGCCUCAAGCAGUCCUCCUGCCUCAGACUCCUAAAGUGCUGGGAUUAUAGGCGUGAGCCACCACAGAUUUUUAUUAGCAUCAGUAAAGGAAUAAAUUUGAUAAAUUAAAAUUUUUGGCCAGGCGUGGUGGCUCAUGCCUGUAAUCCCAGCACUUUGGGAGGCUGAGGCAGGCGGAUCACAAGGUCAGGAGUUCAAAACUAGCCUGACCAACACAGUGAAACCCCAUCUCUACUAAAAAUACAAAAAUUAGCCGGGCAUGGUGGCACCUGCCUAUAAUCCCAGCUACUCAGGAGGCUGAGGCAAGAGAAUCGCUUGAACCCAGGAGGCGGAGUUUGCAGUGAGCGGAGAUAGUGCCACUGCACUCCAGCCUGGGCAACAGAGCGAGACUCCGUCUCAAAAAAAAAAAAGAAAAAAAGAUGUGAUGGUUAAUUUUAAGUGUCAACUUGACUGGAUUAAGGAAUACCUAGAAACCUGGUAAAGCUAUUUUGUGGUGUGUCUGUAUGGGUGUUUCCAGAGAUUAGCGUGUGAGUACAAGUGGGCUAGGUGGGGAAGAUCGGCCCUCCGUGUGGCCAGGUACCAUCCAGUCUGCUGGGGACCCCAGGAAGAACAGAAGCAGAGAAAAGGUGAAAAUGUCAAUUUAUGUGCGAAGGCUGGCUACAUCCAAUCUUCCUCUAUUGUUGUUUUUGGACAACGACCCCAAGCUGCUCAGCCUUUGGAAUCCUGGAUUUACACCAGCAGCACCCUAUCCCCACCCCUUCCUCCUGGUUCUCAGGCCUUUGUCCUUGGACUGAGUUACAUCAUUGUCUUCGCUGAUUCUAAACCUUGGGACUUGGACUGAGCUACCAGCAUCUCAGGGCCUCUAGUUUGCAGAUGGCCUGUCAAGGGACUUAGUCUCCAAAAUUGCAGGAGCCAGUUUCCCUAAUAAAUCCCAAUGUGAUAGUUCUUAUCCCACAGGCCCACUUUAGUUCAGUUUAGUUUUGCUUUGUUUUUAGAAAUGGGGUCUUGCUCUGUUGCCCCAGCUGUAGUGCAGUGGCUCACUCCAGCCUCAAACUCCUGGGCUCUGGCGAUCCUCCCAACUCAGCCUCCUGAGUAGCUAGGAUUACAGGUGCACACCACCAUGCCCAGCUACUUUUUAAUUUUUUUUUUUUGAGACAGAGUCUUACUCUUUCACCCAAGCUGGAGUGCAGUGGCGUAAUCUCAGCUCACUGUAACCUCUGCCUCCCUAGUAGCUGGGACCACAGAUGUGUGCCACUACACCCAGCUAAUUUUUUAUUUUCAGUAGAGACAGGGCUUUGCCAUGUUGGCCAAGCUGGUCUUGAACUCCUGGCCUCAAGUGACCCACCCACAUCGACCUCCCAAAGUGCUGGGAUUACAGGCGUGAGCCAUCUCACCUGCCUACUUUUUAAAUUUUUUGUAGAGACAGGGUCUUGCUAUAUUGCCCAGGCUAAUCUCGAACACCUAGCCUCAAGCGAUCUUCCCAUCUGGGCCUCUCAAAGUGCUGGGAUUACAGGCAGGAGCCCCUUAACCAACUUCGAGAACUUGGGAAAUAAGAUGUGGUGGGUUCUUGCCACCGUGAGCCAAACCUGGGUCAGAACUUCAUGUGUGAUCUGGCCCCUACAUACACCCACUCUGAUAGGAUAUUAUGACACUUUGGAUAACAAUGUCGAUUUGGACCUUGUGUCCCACAGGUCUUAAAAUAUUUGGUUAUUCCACUUUUCCCAGUGUAUAGUUACCAGAGCAAAUGAUAGUUCCCUUUGGAGAAGUAUUAAGGGAUCAUUAACAAAUACUAACAAAAAAAAGGAAAACAAAACAAACACUGUGGUGUUACACAGUCCUUCCUGGGGACCUAGCUUCUGCUUCAAUUAGAUGACCUGAACUCAUUUCUAGAUCUGAAAACUACCUUAGGUCUGGAAACUAGCUGAAGAUCACUUUUUUUUUUAAAUUGGGACAAGUGCCUUCAGCCUCCUAAUGAUUCAUGUUUUAUUUCUCUUGGUUGCACAGAUUGAGCAGUACCCUUGUAGGCUGCCCAUCAAUCUUGCCUCUAAGGAUACCCAGUUGUAUGAAUCAUAUAUUUCUGCAGGUCAACCAUUCUGACCUUAUGCUAAUUGUGACAAUUGUGCCCACCUUGCUGCUGACAGUUAAGCAUCACUAAAGUAGGAAAUAGGGUCCAAACCGACACUACUUAAGGAGGGCAAGUAGUGAUGGGACCUCAUCAUCCCAUUGCUAUCAUGGAGCUCAUCACUGUCACUGCAUCUGCUGCUUUCACCUAAGGUCUGUAAAAGACAGCCACAUUGGUGACAGUACCAAGCUGAGCUGUAUCAGUGAAGUCAGAGGCAAACGGAAAAAGCAGUAAUAGUGAUUCUUUUUUUUCUGUUGUGUUUUUUGUUUUUUUUUUUUGAGACGGAGUCUUGCUCUGUUCCCCAGGCUAGAGUGCAGUGGCACGACCUUGGCUCGCUGCAACCUCUGCCUCCUGGGUUCAAGUGAUUCUCCUGCCUCAGCCUCCCAAGUAGCUGGGACUACAGGCACAUGCCACCACGCCCGGCUAAUUUUUGUAUUUUUAGUAGAGACGGGGUUUCACCAUAUUGGCCAGGCUGGUCUUGAACUCCUGACUUCGUGAUUCAACCACCUCGGCCUCCUGAAGUGCUGGGAUUACAGGCAUGAGCCACUGCGCCCAGCCUAGGGCCAUGCUACUCUUAAUACUAAUUCCUAGGUGGAGUGUGGUGGCUCACAUCUAUAAUCCCAACAAUUUGGGAGGCUGAGGUGCAGGGAUUGCUUGAGACCAGGAGUUGGAGACCAACCUGGGCAACAUAAUGAGACUUUGUCUCAAUUAAAAUAAAAAUCAGUCCUGGAGCUGUGGCUCACGCCUGUAAUCCCAGCACUUUGGGAGGCCGAGGCGGGUGGAUCACCUGAGGUCGGGAGUUUGAGACCAGCCUGACCAACAUGGAGAAACCCCAUCUCUACUAAAGAUACAAAAUUAGCCGGGUAUGGUGGCACAUGCCUGUAAUCCCAGCUACUCGGGAGGCUGAGGCAGGAGAAUUGCUUAAACCUGAGAGGCAGACGUUGCAGUGAGCCAAGAUGGUACCAUUGCACUCCAGCCUGGGCAACAAGAGCAAAACUCCAUCUCAAAAAAAUAAAAUAAUAAAAUAAAAUAAAAAUCAGGUCAGGCGCGGUG
rnacentral:lncRNA from 1 species